rnacentral:rRNA from 1 species
UACGGAAGGCAGCAGUGGGGAAUAUUGCACAAUGGGCGAAAGCCUGAUGCAGCUAUGCCGCGUGUAUGAAGAAGGCCUUAGGGUUGUAAAGUACUUUCAUCGGGGAGGAAAAACAAAACUAAUAAUUUUAUUUCUUGACGUUACCCGAAAAAGAAGCACCGGCUAACUCCGUGCCAGCAGCCGCGGUAAUACGGGAGGGUGCUAGCGUUAAUCAGAAUUACUGGGCGUAAAGAGCACGUAGGUGGUUUUUUUAAGUCAGAUGUGAAAUCCCUGGGCUUAACCUAGGAACUGCAUUUUGAAACUGAAAUACUAGAGUAUCGUAGAGGGAGGUAGAAUUCUAGGUGUAGCGGUGAAAUGCGUAGAUAUCUGGAGGAAUACCUGUGGCGAAAGCGGCCUCCUAAACGAAUACUGACACUGAGGUGCGAAAGCGUGGGGAGCAAACGAGGAUUAGAUACC